AGAUCGUUGUAUAUAGUCAGGCCUUCUAGAGAGACGCUUGCGUGCACAUGCACCCGUGGAAGAUGCGUGAGCAACUGCACACCUUUCUUGCUCACACGCAGAGUGUGAAUGAGGACGUACAUAACUUCUUUAUGUCUAUAUAUGCGCUUCAAAGGGCGCCUGCAUGCACUUGCUGCACCAGAAUUUGUUGCACUGGGAAGGUGGUCCUUCGUGGGCUACCCCGAGGCAGGUAGGUGUAUGAGCAGACGUUUGCGGCAGCCAGCAGGGUCGCCACUGUGGAAAACUAUAUGUGUCUCAGGCAGGCUUGGGGUCUUGAAUACUGCAGCACUCACUAACAAGAUAGGAUGGCGGCUCUAUGUUGUGGCUGCUAGGAAUCCAGGGAUGAAUGAUAGGGACAGUUGGGGCAGUAGCGUGUUACUGUCACAAGUUAAAUUGUAAUAGUGGUUUUCAUAACGAACUGCCGCGAACGCGUUUGCCAAAGACGUCUUCGUCAAUCAAGAGCGAACGGUAGAGGCGCCAAGACGGCCAGAUACAGUCGUAGCCUUAACCGAUAACUACACCAAGU
rnacentral:ncRNA from 1 species